rnacentral:rRNA from 1 species
GACAAACGCUGGCGGCGUGCUUAACACAUGCAAGUCGAACGGAGUACCCGAGAAUGAAGCUUCGGCAGAUUUUUUGGAAUACUUAGUGGCGGACGGGUGAGUAACACGUGAGUAACCUGCCCUUGAGAGGGGAAUAACACACCGAAAGGUGUGCUAAUACCGCAUAACAUAACAAAAUCGCAUGGUAUUGUUAUCAAAGAUUUAUCGCUCAAGGAUGGGCUCGCGGCCGAUUAGGUAGUUGGUGAGGUAAUGGCUCACCAAGCCGACGAUCGGUAGCCGGACUGAGAGGUUGAACGGCCACAUUGGAACUGAGAAACGGUCCAGACUCCUACGGGAGGCAGCAGUGGGGAAUAUUGGGCAAUGGGCGAAAGCCUGACCCAGCGACGCCGCGUGAGGGAAGACGGUCUUCGGAUUGUAAACCUCUUUCAGCAGGGAAGAAGCAAGUGACGGUACCUGCAGAAGAAGUCACGGCUAACUACGUG